GAUGAAGAACGUAGCGAAAUGCGAUAAGUAAUGUGAAUUGCAGAAUUCAGUGAAUCAUCGAAUCUUUGAACGCACAUUGCGCCCGCCAGUAUUCUGGCGGCAUGCCUGUCCGAGCGUCAUUUCAACCCUCGAACCCCUCCGGGGGGUCGGCGUUGGGGACCUCGGGAGCCCCUAAGACGGGAUCCCGGCCCCGAAAUACAGUGGCGGUCUCGCCGCAGCCUCUCCUGCGCAGUAGUUUGCACAACUCGCACCGGGAGCGCGGCGCGUCCACGUCCGUAAAACACCCAACUUCUGAAAUGUUGACCUCGGAUCAGGUAGGAAUACCCGCUGAACUUAAGCAUAUCAAUAAGCGGAGGA
rnacentral:misc_RNA from 1 species